CCAAAGCCCAUCAACUAUCCCACUUUCCUUUUCUCUUCUCACUCAAAGACCACCUAUCGAACAACACUCAGCCAGGUUCUCUCCUUCGCAGAUCCACAUCCGAUGUUCUUUGCUCAAGGACCCUUCCGAUCAGGUAUGCUCGCGAUUCUUCUCUCAUCGCCUUUCUAGCUAAGUUGUGAGCCACUAGAUUUGCAAAUCUAUAUGUAUGUUGAAAGGCUAUUUGGUGAAAAUAUUACUUUUGCUGCUAAAUGUUUCGUAUUAUACCCCCGACCAUUGAUUUAUCAAUCUUAUCUGAUUUACUUUUUGUAUUACUGAUAUUGCGUCUCCUUCAUCUGUUUUCCCAUGAACAUUGCUUGGAGGCACGUAAGGGCCUCUACUGCAAACAAAGAGGUCACCUCCCUGCGAACUAUUGUUUUGAAUGAGAUGACCUGUCCCGAAACAUUGCUAGCCAUCACCCCUGAGACUGAUUUUGGUCAAGAUUCAUCAAAAGUGGCGUCGAAAUUAAGUUUGAAAACGG
rnacentral:lncRNA from 1 species